rnacentral:rRNA from 1 species
UUAGAGUUUGAUCAUGGCUCAGAUUGAACGCUGGCGGCAGGCCUAACACAUGCAAGUCGAGCGGUAGCACAGAGAGCUUGCUCUCGGGUGACGAGCGGCGGACGGGUGAGUAAUGUCUGGGAAACUGCCUGAUGGAGGGGGAUAACUACUGGAAACGGUAGCUAAUACCGCAUAAUGUCGCAAGACCAAAGAGGGGGACCUUCGGGCCUCUUGCCAUCAGAUGUGCCCAGAUGGGAUUAGCUAGUAGGUGGGGUAACGGCUCACCUAGGCGACGAUCCCUAGCUGGUCUGAGAGGAUGACCAGCCACACUGGAACUGAGACACGGUCCAGACUCCUACGGGAGGCAGCAGUGGGGAAUAUUGCACAAUGGGCGCAAGCCUGAUGCAGCCAUGCCGCGUGUAUGAAGAAGGCCUUCGGGUUGUAAAGUACUUUCAGCGGGGAGGAAGGCGAUAAGGUUAAUAACCUUGUCGAUUGACGUUACCCGCAGAAGAAGCACCGGCUAACUCCGUGCCAGCAGCCGCGGUAAUACGGAGGGUGCAAGCGUUAAUCGGAAUUACUGGGCGUAAAGCGCACGCAGGCGGUCUGUCAAGUCGGAUGUGAAAUCCCCGGGCUCAACCUGGGAACUGCAUUCGAAACUGGCAGGCUAGAGUCUUGUAGAGGGGGGUAGAAUUCCAGGUGUAGCGGUGAAAUGCGUAGAGAUCUGGAGGAAUACCGGUGGCGAAGGCGGCCCCCUGGACAAAGACUGACGCUCAGGUGCGAAAGCGUGGGGAGCAAACAGGAUUAGAUACCCUGGUAGUCCACGCCGUAAACGAUGUCGACUUGGAGGUUGUGCCCUUGAGGCGUGGCUUCCGGAGCUAACGCGUUAAGUCGACCGCCUGGGGAGUACGGCCGCAAGGUUAAAACUCAAAUGAAUUGACGGGGGCCCGCACAAGCGGUGGAGCAUGUGGUUUAAUUCGAUGCAACGCGAAGAACCUUACCUACUCUUGACAUCCAGAGAACUUUCCAGAGAUGGAUUGGUGCCUUCGGGAACUCUGAGACAGGUGCUGCAUGGCUGUCGUCAGCUCGUGUUGUGAAAUGUUGGGUUAAGUCCCGCAACGAGCGCAACCCUUAUCCUUUGUUGCCAGCGGUUAGGCCGGGAACUCAAAGGAGACUGCCAGUGAUAAACUGGAGGAAGGUGGGGAUGACGUCAAGUCAUCAUGGCCCUUACGAGUAGGGCUACACACGUGCUACAAUGGCGCAUACAAAGAGAAGCGACCUCGCGAGAGCAAGCGGACCUCAUAAAGUGCGUCGUAGUCCGGAUUGGAGUCUGCAACUCGACUCCAUGAAGUCGGAAUCGCUAGUAAUCGUAGAUCAGAAUGCUACGGUGAAUACGUUCCCGGGCCUUGUA